CCUACGGGUGGCAGCAGUGGGGGAUAUUGCACAAUGGGGGGAACCCUGAUGCUGCGACGCCGCGUGGGUGAAGGAGCGUUUCGGCGCGUAAAGCCCUAUCGGCAGGGGAGCAGAUGACGGUACCUGACCAAGAAGCCCCGGCUAACUACGUGCCAGCAGCCGCGGUAAUACGUAGGGGGCAAGCGUUAUCCGGAUUUACUGGGUGUAAAGGGGGAGCAGACGGCAAUGCAAGCCAGGAGUGAAAGCCCGGGGCCCAACCCCGGGACUGCUCUUGGAACUGCAUGGCUGGAGGACAGGAGGGGCAGGCGGAAUUCCGGGGGUAGCGGUGAAAUGCGAAGAUAUUAGGGGGAACCCCGGGGGGGAGGGCGGCCUGCUGGACUGUGACUGACGUUGAGGCCCGAAGGCGUGGGGAGCAAACAGGAUUGGAUACCCGGGUAGUC
rnacentral:rRNA from 1 species